rnacentral:lncRNA from 1 species
CGUUAAGAACCAAGGAACACGGGAACACUGGGGGAACCCGGGGUGUGUGGACGGAGAGCGACUUCCGCCGUCCUCCCGGGGGGUUCCAAACCUAAACGGCGAGGUCAGAGAGCGGGGGGGGGCGAACCCCUCGGCGCCACCUGCUGCUUCCUAAUUACCUUUUCCACACAGCAGCGACAUGGCGGGUUUGAUCCCACAGCUUCCGCAGCGUGAUUGCUCGUUCGCAUCGCGAGUGUUUUUGUUGUUUGAGUCUGACAAGUGUCUCGAGAAAAGACUGUCAUGCCGGCGGCUCUGUGACAGCGCCGCUUGGAGCUAAAUUCUAAAAUGCUCAUUACAACGCCACUACACAGGUGUUUGAAGACCCAGAGGACCCUCAAAACCUCUAAAGGCUUCCUGGACGACGCCUACAAUGUUCUCCAUGGCCAAAGGAACCUCCAAAAGACCCUUCGGAACUCACAGAGGACCUCUAGAACCGUCUCACUGACCACUACAACCUUGUGAAGGACCUCCGUAACCUCCGAAAUAACUAGAACCUUCUUAGUGACUAUUAAAACUGUCGGUAGAACGUCUUAAAUUACCAUCAAAACCUUCUUAAUAGUCCCUAGAACAACAUAAAGGACCCCUGGAACUGUCUCAGCAGCCACUACAAUAUCCUGAACGAUCGCAACGACCUCCCCAAUUGCCACUAGAACCUCAUAAAGAACCCCUAGAACCUAGUUGCUCCUUAUAAGUUCUUCCUUUUACAGAUAUACAAUUUUUCAAGUAGUGACUGAGAUCACGAGGGGACAAAAAAUCAGUGGUACAAAGGUUUCUACUCUGGUUUCAGUAUUCAAACCCCAAACUCCAUGUUUUAUUCUUAUUUUUAUGGAAACACCAAUUCCUAUAAUAAGCAUAUUCUACAUGUCCUGUACACCAUUUAAUUCGCCCUCCCUCUGAAAAGGAGCCGGACAGAUUUGCCGUCUUUUCGAAAAAACAUCGCGGCCCCGGCCAGAAUUUAAAAUUAAGUUCGGCAGUUUUGAACAAUUCUCGGCCAAACAACAUGCAAUUAUAAUGAUGGAUCCUCUGGUGGAUUCAGACGAAAGAGGCUAAAUAGAUUUUUCAGCUUCCUGGAAAACAUUUCAGAGUCACAAACACAUUGUGGCUUAAAAUACUCGGAGCAAAGUUUCUCACAGCGCCGCCGUUGGCAGCGCUGUGAGAAACUCGCCGCGGCCAAAAAAGCACUGAAUAUUUCAGGUUCGCUUCCUGUGGCGCGUCCGCAGGCGGCGGCGGCCCACAAACCUCGACGCCACAAUUAGAAGAAGAUGAAAAACAACAGGCAGCCGGGAGUCCUUAUCAACAUCACGCAGGAAAACAAUAAAGCCAGGGGGGCAGAGGUCACAGGGGACGUGGGGGGGGGUCGGGGCACUAUAACCCCGCUCAAGAACGACUGAUUGAAGUCAGACUGAAAGUUGAACGUUGCUCCGUGACCAGGCCCACGAAGAACUCAUCAGGUUUCCACCAGAGGAGAGAAAAAUCUUGAAGGAGCUUAUGUUUGAAACAACACACACAUACACACACACACACAGACACAUACACACACACACACACACAGACGUGGCCUCCAUCUCCGUCGGACUGCGCUCGUUGGUAUGCGAGGAUGAAGGUGAAGUGUGCGGCGUUGACAUCUGAUUGGUCCUUUUCUUCAAUAAGCGAUCUGAUAAAGAGACAAGAACAGAGACGGAGGGCUGAGAAUAAAGCUUCAAGGCCUUGCACCAAUU